GGGGAUGAUUCGUUUCGACAGUGGAGCUGUAACGUCAUGCAUGCGAAACGGUGAAUGUUGGAGAACACCUUAAAUCUCGAACACCAAACGUGUGAAAACGCUUGUAAACCGAGUGGCGAGCGCAUUUGCGCCUCGCACCUUGGCUCCCGCUUACGCGUAACGCCUAAGCGAGCGCCGGACUUCCAAUGCCAGAUAGGAAGUUUCCGGUGUCAUAACAUCCGGCUCUGGAUCGCCGACCGCUCAUCGGUGAUCCGAAUUCACGAGCUCGCGGCUUCCCGCUUUUGUCUCUUUUUUAUGAGAGGCCGCUAAAAUGUAAGAGGGACUAGGUUCCGUAGAUUGCAUACGCUCUCUCCAUUGGACGGGGUUUCGACACCCCCAUCUCCACAA
rnacentral:tmRNA from 1 species